rnacentral:pre_miRNA from 1 species
GGCUACUUCAUUUUUCGUUUUUUCGUGUUUAAUGUUUGAUCAUUUAUUUUAUUUAAAAUUUUUUUAUGAUUAAUUUUUUAUUAUUACUGAAUGAUAAAAUAUGAAUAGUACUUUAUACGUGACUAAUUUUUUUAUUUUUACACAAAAUUUUCAAAUAAAACAAAUGGUCAAACGUUGAACACGGAAAAAC